rnacentral:rRNA from 1 species
GUAACAAUAGAGAAUGACUCUCGGCAACGGAUAUCUAGGCUCUUGCAUCGAUGAAGAACGUAGCGAAAUGCGAUACUUGGUGUGAAUUGCAGAAUCCCGUGAACCAUCGAGUCUUUGAACGCAAGUUGCGCCUGAAGCCAGUAGGCUGAGGGCACGUCUGCCUGGGUGUCACGU